UUUGUGUUCCAGACGGCUGCGACUAUAAAUUGGUGAAGAACAUCAGUGUUGGCUGUGAGUUCGGCUGUGCCAGCUCCUUAGCAACUUAUCGCAUUCGUCUCCCACCGAGGUGUGAAUGUUGGGUUCAUCUGGCAGGACCAGAAUCAGAGAAAGCACCGCCGGGUAUGGGUGUCAACGAGGCCUUUUUAGAG
rnacentral:lncRNA from 1 species